rnacentral:lncRNA from 1 species
UGGCCAUUUUUCCGCUGGGGGGUCUUGGGACCCCGAACUUCGGGGGCUGUUUUUUGGGUGUGGCUGUUCCCAUGGCCUAUUUUUGGCACACGGAGGCCUACCGCCAAGUCUGGUGCCAUUCCGAGUCCCGCGGACGAACUUCGCCCACGCCCCCCACCAAGGCUAUAGCCCACCCGUUUUUUGGCCAUUUUUCCGCUGGGGGGUCUUGGGACCCCGACCUUCGGGGGCUGUUUUUUGGGCGCGGCUGUGCCCGUGGCCUAUUUUUGGCACACGGAGGCCGCCCGUCAAGUCUGGUGCUAUUCCGAGUCCCGCGGACGAACUUCGCCCACGCCCCCCACCAAGGCUAUAGCCCACCCGUUUUUUGGCCAUUUUUCCGCUGGGGGGUCUUGGGACCCCGACCUUCGGGGGCUGUUUUUUGGGCGCGGCUGUGCCCGUGGCCUAUUUUUGGCACACGGAGGCCGCCCGUCAAGUCUGGUGCUAUUCCGAGUCCCGCGGACGAACUUUGCCCACGCCCCCCACCAAGGCUAUAGCCCACCCGUUUUUUGGCCAUUUUUCCGCUGGGGAGUCUUGGGACCCCGACCUUCGGGGGCUGAUUUUUGGGCGCGGCUGUGCCCGUGGCCUAUUUUUGGCACACGGAGGCAGCCCGCCAAGUCUGGUCCCAUUCCGUGUCCCGCGGACGAACUUCGCCCACGUCCCCCACCAAGGCUAUAGCCCACCCGUUUUUUGGCCAUUUUUCCGCUGGGGGAUCUUGGGACCCCGAACUUUGGGGGCUGUUUUUUGGGCGUGGCUGUGCCCAUGGCCAAUUUUUGGCACACGGAGGCCUACCGCCAAGUCUGGUGCCAUUCCGAGUCUCGUGGACGAACUUCGCCCACGCCACCCACCAAGGCUAUAGCCCACCCGUUUUUUGGCCAUAUAGCCUUGCUGGGGGGUCUUGGCACCCCGACCUUCGGGGGCUGAUUUUUGGGCGCGGCUGUGCCCGUGGCCUAUUUUUGGCGCACGGAGACCGCCCGCAAAGUCUGGGGCCAUUCCGAGUCCGGCGGACGAACUUCGCCCACGCCCCCCACCAAGGCUAUAGCCCACCCGUUUUUUGGCCAUAUAGCCUUGCUGGGGGGUCUUGGCACCCCGACCUUCGGGGGCUGAUUUUUGGGCGCGGCUGUGCCCGUGGCCUAUUUUUGGCGCACGGAGACCGCCCGCAAAGCCUGGGGCCAUUCCGAGUCCGGCGGACGAACUUCGCCCGCGCCCCCCACCAAGGCUAUAGCACACCCGUUUUUUGGCCAUAUAGCCUUGCUGGGGGGUCUUGGCACCCCGACCUUCGGGGGCUGAUUUUUGGGCGCGGCUGUGCCCGUGGCCUAUUUUUGGCGUACGGAGGCCGCCCGCAAAGUCUGGGGCCAUUCCGAGUCCGGCGGACGAACUUCGCCCGCGCCCCCCACCAAGGCAAUAGCCCACCCGUUUUUUGGCCAUUUUUCCGCUGGGGGUCUUGGCACCCCGACCUUCGGGGGCUGAUUUUUGGGCGCGGCUGUGCCCGUGGCCUAUUUUUGGCACACGGAGGCCGCCCGCAAAGUCUGGGGCCAUUCCCAGUCCGGUGGAC